GAUGAAGAACGUAGCGAAAUGCGAUAAGUAAUGUGAAUUGCAGAAUUCAGUGAAUCAUCGAAUCUUUGAACGCACAUUGCGCCCGCCAGUGUUCUGGCGGGCAUGCCUGUUCGAGCGUCAUUUCAACCAUCAAGCCCCCGGCUUGUGUUGGGGACCUGCGGCUGCCGCAGGCCCUGAAAACCAGUGGCGGGCUCGCUAGUCACUCCGAGCGUAGUAAUACAUCUCGCUCAGGGCGUGCUGCGGGUUCCGGCCGUUAAAAAGCCUUAUUUACCCAAGGUUGACCUCGGAUCAGGUAGGAAGACCCGCUGAACUUAAGCAUAUCAAUAAGCGGAGGA
rnacentral:misc_RNA from 1 species